rnacentral:rRNA from 1 species
UACAGGGGGUGCAAACGUUGCUCGGAAUCAUUGGGCGUAAAGCGCACGUAGGCGGUUCGUUAUGUCGGAUGUGAAAGCCCUUGGCUUAACCGAGGAAGUGCAUCCGAAACUGGCGAGCUAGAGUACGAAAGAGGAUCGCGGAAUUCCCGGUGUAGAGGUGAAAUUCGUAGAUAUAGGGAGGAACACCGGUGGCGAAGGCGGCCACCUGGACGGUAACUGACGCUGAGACGCGAAAGCGUGGGGAGCAAACAGG